CAUUUAUUGAAACUGGAAAGUCUAGCAUAAAGAGUUUAGGUUGAAUUGGAAAACUUGCUGUUAUGAAAUUGUGAGGCAAAGAUUACCAUUGAAAGUUGCAACACAGACAACCAGAGAGCUGUUUCAUUAGGCCAGGGAAGAGGCAGUUUAUAAUUACUGCCAGAUUCUUGUUCCUUUCUCAUGGAUGCCAGGAGGAUGAAAUGUCCACUGAGGAUUCUCUCUCUCUCUAGAUGUGGCUGGCUGAAGGAGGUCAUCACAACUUAUGUCACCACUGCACAGUUGAGAAAGUCUGGCUCUCUCCUGGCUCCUGAUUUCAACCAUCGCUACAGAGAAUGAGUUUGUCUCAGGGCUGUGCUGACUCUCUGGGGGAGAUGGCUUGGUGUCUAUCCCCAAGCAGAGGACACUGUGACCGGAUUGCCUCUCCAAGGAACUUAACUUCAAAAAGAAAUUGGAGAUUUGCCAUGUCACGUGGAUGUAGCAUGAAUAAAUAAAUGGACCCAGAGAAUGAUAUUAGGGUUCAAACUUCAAGCUCAAUAUCAGAAAAGCAAAGCAGCUGGCCACUAGCUCUCACCUCAGGCUGAAUGGGCUGGUCCUGUCUCCAUGAGCUCUCACUGAGCCUCAGACUGUAACCUUUCUUCAGUGUUGCUGGAGAAUGAAUGCCUCUUUGACACCUUGCUUCUGUCUUAUAUACUUUCCUAAUGUUGAGAUUAAAGUUGUGAGAUAUAACUUUUAGACUGAUUCACUCUUGUAUAGAUCUGGGAGGCAUUGGACUCACUGAGAUCCACCUACCCCUUAAUCCUGAGUCCUGGGAUUAAAGGUGUGUACCACCACCUCCUAGCUUCUGGCUGCUUGGAUUAAAGGUGUG
rnacentral:lncRNA from 1 species